UACGUAGGGUGCAAGCGUUGUCCGGAAUUAUUGGGCGUAAAGAGCUCGUAGGCGGUCUGUCGCGUCUGCUGUGAAAACUCAGGGCUCAACCCUGAGCCUGCAGUCGAUACGGGCAGGCUAGAGUCCGGCAGGGGAGACUGGAAUUCCUGGUGUAGCGGUGAAAUGCGCAGAUAUCAGGAGGAACACCGGUGGCGAAGGCGGGUCUCUGGGCCGAUACUGACGCUGAGGAGCGAAAGCGUGGGGAGCGAACAGG
rnacentral:rRNA from 1 species